rnacentral:lncRNA from 9 species
GCACCGUGGGGCCUUUAUGCCAAGGAAGCGGAAGCGGAAACCGUGUAGGCCCGCGAGCAGAGCAGAUUUAUUUGCGGAAGCCUAAACGUGGGAACAAGCGGCAUGACCUUCGGGGGGUGGGUGAGUGAGUGCUUGGUGUGGACCCAGGCCUCCGGGCAGCAGUACAGAGGAAGCGCUGACCACUGACCCACGCAACCAUCUGGAUGGAUGGCUCUCGAGGGCAGUGCGUGAGGGAGCACGCGCCCCCUCCAGGUGGCAUCCUGCCGGGUUCCAUUUAUGUGCCGCAGUAACUGAGACUGGAGUUCUGGUUGCCAGGGAUCGAGGGGGGGGGAGGAGGAGGGGGGAGGCCGUGGCUAUGACAGGUCAACAGGAAGGACCCUCAGGAGGGGACAGGCUGGACCUCGAUCGCAGUGGGGGCCACCUGAACCCACACGCGUGACGAAACUGCCCGGAGCUACGCGCGUGCACACACACACACACACACACACACACACACAUUCGGACACGCAACCGGGGACAAAACCCCGAGCAGCGCUCGCGAGGCACCCACGGCAUCGCCUGGGAAGCGAUCGCACUGGCUGUGCGACAGGCUGACGCAGCAGUACAGAGGAAGCGCGGACCACCGACCCACGCGCGAGGGGCUCCGGCCUCUCGGGCGUCUCCGUGUAACUUCCUGUGCGCUUCAUUACUUCACAAUACAAGUACACACCGGAAGCACACCAGCAGGGCUGAGCGUGCCCACGCCGGACCGCUCGCGCGGCUCGGCACGGAGAGGCCGGGCAGGACGUCCGGCGACCCGCAGCCCGCCGGGCCGCCCGCCGGUGAGCAGCUUCUAGAAGCCUCCAGACCAGACUGUGCCUGCCUCCCUCCCCUCCCAGCCAGCAGGCCCAGGCUGAGAAGUGGUGGGCCAGGGGGCGGGUCCUGGCUUUUUUCAGGUGGAGGACGUGAGGCCGGCGAGGGCCGUUCCCUCCCCGCUUCCUCGCAGGCUCUCCCUUCUCUCCACCCGGCGACUCCAGCGACUGCAUGUUGCCCCUGCCAUCUCCCGAGGCUCCACCGCCGCUCUGCCCAGACCCUGUGGGGCUCCAGCUGAAGAGCCGUCCCAGGUCGUGACCCCUGCGGGGCAGCUGCCCUCACAGGCUCUGCCCUCCUCCGAACGCAUACCCGAUUGGGGGACCGGCUGCUGAAACAGGAUGUCUCACGGUGCCCUCUGGAGCUCUGAUGCGACGGCGACCGAACUACGUGUCCUGCCUGCGCUA